rnacentral:rRNA from 1 species
GGUUAAGGCCCCUUGAAGACGACGAGGUAGAUAGGGCAGAGGUGGAAGUGCAGCAAUGCAUGGAGCUGACUGCUACUAAUAGGCCGAGGGCUUGACCGAA